GUGCCAGCCGCCGCGGUAAUACGUAGGGUGCGAGCGUUAAUCGGAAUUACUGGGCGUAAAGCGUGCGCAGGCGGUUAUAUAAGACAGUUGCGAAAUCCCCGGGCUUAACCUGGGAAUGGCGCUUGUGACUGCACGACUGGAGUGCGGCAGAGGGGGAUGGAAUUCCGCGUGUAGCAGUGAAAUGCGUAGAUAUGCGGAGGAACACCGAUGGCGAAGGCAGUCCCCUGGGCCUGCACUGACGCUCAUGCACGAAAGCGUGGGGAGCAAACAGGAUUAGA
rnacentral:rRNA from 1 species